UAGCAUAUGCUUGUCUCAAAGAUUAAGCCAUGCAUGUCCAAGUAUAAACACGUUUAUACAGCGAAACUGCGUACAGCUCAUUAAAUCAGUUAUAAUUUAUUUGAUGGUUUCCUUCUUUGUGGCUUUUGCUGCAAAAAAGACUAUAUGGAUACCCGUAGUAAUUCUAGAGCUAAUACAUGCGUCGAGUUCUGAAGGGGCUUGCCCUGGAGGAAUGUAUUUAUUAGAUACCAACCAAAGAAGACUUUUUUUUGGUGAAUCAUAGUAACUGUGCAGAU
rnacentral:rRNA from 1 species